GACAGAGGGUGCAAACGUUGUUCGGAAUUACUGGGCGUAAAGGGUGCGUAGGUGGCGCCGUAAGUCGGGUGUGAAAUUUCGGAGCUUAACUCCGAAACUGCAUUCGAUACUGCGGUGCUUGAGGACUGGAGAGGAGACUGGAAUUUAUGGUGUAGCAGUGAAAUGCGCAGAUAUCAGGAAGAACACCCGUGGCGAAGGCGGCUCUCUGGGACGGUACUGACGCUGAGACGCGAAAGCGUGGGGAGCGAACAGG
rnacentral:rRNA from 1 species